AACUUGGUGAUUGUGCUUCAAGAUGAUGGAGAAAAAUGAACAAGUGACUGCACACCAAAUAUAAUCCACCUUUCUGAGAGCAGGAAGCAGGAGCCCAUGCUCAUGCCUCAUGUGGCAUUUCUGCACACCAUUUGUCUUCUGGGCUGGGAAACUCACAUGCCUUAGAAACUUCUGCGGAGUUUCAAAGAAUGUGAAGAUGGAGCUAAAGUUUUGACAAUUUCUGUGGCUGAGAUCAAGGAACCAUAAUUAACCACCAAAGUAUUGGUGGAUGUUGCUGCCACUUCACACAAAACAGCAGGGCCAGUCCAGCCCAAAGCUAGAAGACCACAGGAAAUGGGCAUAUGCGACAGCUACCCAUGGGUUUGAAAAGACGGAGUGUGUCCCAAGCACUGAAGAGGUAUCUACAAGUCUUUGUGUCUUCUGAGCAUGCCUCAGGAGGCUGUUCUCCUGUUGUUUACUAGGAAUCUGAAAUUUAAGGCUUGAAGCUUAAAGACCAUGGAAUUACUGGCAUCUCGUUGUUAACUGAGACAGUGGAUGUGGAUAAGCUUUGAAAGAUGUAACAAAUAAAAGCAGAGAUUAUCAUGGA